GGGUAGUGGUUUGACUGAAUCAAGAAUAGGCACAGGCUAUGAAAUUUGUACAUGAUGCAUUAAAAGUUGUACUGUUGACUACUUAUUAUGGAAAUGAGCCAGCUAGAGUGUGAUGUAGGAUAUGGUUUACUGCUGGAAAUGAUUGAUACAGGUUCACUGCACCAAUGAGAAACCUUCCCAUGUGGUUGUGGAAGACAUCCGGACACCUUCCACAUGAUCCAACAUAAACUACAGCCAUGUUUGGAUCUUGUUUCAUCAUUUUCUGUAAAGCUCACUGAUCUUGUCAUAUAUAUAAACCCCACAUAUUUAUGUCAUCUCUCUCUCUCUCUCUCUCUCUCUCUCUAGCAAUUUAAUAAAAAUGUCACCUUUUCUGUUCUGGAGUUUGCUCCCAGUUUUGCUUCUUGUGUUGAUGUUCAGUUCCCACAAAAAUAUAGGGUUUUUGAACAGUGGUGUAUAGAGCUAUAGAUUAUACAUACAUGUGGUGAAGGGGGUGCACACUGUAGCAAAAUUCAAGAAAUCAGUCUUGUUAUUUACCAAAUGCAUUAAAGGACCAUGCUUCAUUAGCUUUCAAUGCUUACUUCCAAAAGUUUAAGCAUAGUGGUGCCUCUUGCUACUUUCAUAGAUCAUGACCACCGAAAAAGACCCGAGUUAUGGUUCAUGCCACUAUGAUUAUACUCCUUGAUCCAAUGUGACAACAAAGAGGGCAAAUGAACUUGCAACCAAGAGGGCAAAUGAACCUGCUAAAAUGCGCCACUUUAGGCUUCUGUAACCUUGAUAAACUUUGGGCGUAUGAACCAUCAUGUGGCCAUGUGGUAGCUAUAAAAACAGAACAGAAGCUAUGUUAAACAAA